CCUACGGGAGGCAGCAGUGGGGAAUAUUGGACAAUGGGCGAAAGCCUGAUCCAGCAAUGCCGCGUGAGUGAAGAAGGCCUUCGGGUUGUAAAGCUCUUUUACCCGGGAAGAUAAUGACCGUACCGGGAGAAUAAGCCCCGGCUAACUCCGUGCCAGCAGCCGCGGUAAUACGGAGGGGGCUAGCGUUGUUCGGAAUCACUGGGCGUAAAGCGUGCGUAGGCGGCCAUUCAAGUCAGAGGUGAAAGCCCAGGGCUCAACCCUGGAACUGCCUUUGAAACUAGGUGGCUGGAACACGGGAGAGGUGAGUGGAAUUCCGAGUGUAGAGGUGAAAUUCGUAGAUAUUCGGAAGAACACCAGUGGCGAAGGCGGCUCACUGGACCGUUGUUGACGCUGAGGCACGAAAGCGUGGGGAGCAAACAGGAUUAGAUACCCUGGUAGUCCACGCCGUAAACGAUGAUAACUAGCUGUUGGGGCUCUUUGAGCUCCAGUGGCGCAGCUAACGCAUUAAGUUGUCCGCCUGGGGAGUACGGCCGCAGGUUAAAACUCAAAGGAAUUGACGG
rnacentral:rRNA from 1 species